GACGAACGCUGGCGGCGUGCUUAACACAUGCAAGUCGAACGGAAAGGCCCUGCUUUUGUGGGGUGCUCGAGUGGCGAACGGGUGAGUAACACGUGAGUAACCUGCCCUUGACUUUGGGAUAACUUCAGGAAACUGGGGCUAAUACCGGAUAUGAGCUCCUGCUGCAUGGUGGGGGUUGGAAAGUUUCGGCGGUUGGGGAUGGACUCGCGGCUUAUCAGCUUGUUGGUGGGGUAGUUGCUUACCAAGGCUUUGACGGGUAGCCGGCCUGAGAGGGUGACCGGCCACAUUGGGACUGAGAUACGGACCAGACUCCUACGGGAGGCAGCAGUGGGGAGUAUUGCACAAUGGGCGGAAGCCUGAUGCAGAAACGCCGCGUGCGGGAUGACGGCCUUCGGGUUGUAAACCGCUUUCGAAUGUGACGAAGCGUGAGUGACGGUAAUGGGUAAAGAAGCACCGGCUAACUACGUG
rnacentral:rRNA from 1 species